CUUGGAGAAGAGGAGGAGGCUGAAAAGAAGGCAAAGAGUGAAGAUAGAGAAACAAGAUGGAAGUGGGGGAGAAAAACAGGGAUGAGAGAAUGCCAUGGUGGUGCUGAGAAGGAAAGGAGAGACUUUUCUGCUUGUAAAGGGCAGAAGAUGGCAGAAUCCAGUGACGCAGGGGCAUCUGGCUCCAGAAAUAAUAGGUCACUUGGCACCCACUUCUUCAAAACGGAGCAGGAGAAGAUCAGAGAAAUCUGCUACAAAACCAAGGAGGUGAGGGAGAAGAGGACCAAAUACUCACCUAGCACAUGCUCACUCUUCUCACAGACAAAGAAACAGUACAAGAAGGAAUCUCAGAACAUCAAGAAGGAAGAAAGAACACAGUAAACAAAAAUAUGGGGAUGGAGGCACAAAAUACCAGGAAGGAAACAGAUUCUGCCAGUUACAGAGUAUUGACAACACUCUGUCACUCCGAAAAGGCAGACUCAACUCCAGAAAAGGAAUAGGGAGGCCCAAGAAGAACGAAAGACAGGGGAAUAACAGGCACUCACUCUCUCUCCUGCUGCCCUGUGAAGAGGUGCUGUCUACCAUGAUUGUAAGUUUCCUGAGGCUUCCUCAGCCAUGC
rnacentral:lncRNA from 1 species